AUUGAACGCUGGCGGCAGGCCUAACACAUGCAAGUCGAGCGAGCGGCGGACGGGUGCGUAAUGUCUGGGAAACUGCCUGCUGGAGGGGGAUAACUACUGGAAACGGUAGCUAAUACCGCAUACCAUCAGAUGUGCCCAGUUGGGAUUAGCUAGUAGGUGGGGUAACGGCUCACCAAGGCGCCGAUCCCUAGCUGGUCUGAGAGGAUGACCAGCCACACUGGAACUGAGACACGGUCCAGACUCCUACGGGAGGCAGCAGUGGGGAAUAUUGCACAAUGGGCGCAAGCCUUAUGCAGCCAUGCCGCGUGUGUGAAGAAGGCCUUCGGGUGGUAAAGCACGUUCAGCGGGGAGGCGUUACCCGCAGAAGAAGCACCGGCUAACUCCGUGCCAGCAGCCGCGGUAAUAC
rnacentral:rRNA from 1 species